rnacentral:rRNA from 1 species
CCUACGGGGGGCAGCAGUGAGGAAUAUUGGUCAAUGGACGAGAGUCUGAACCAGCCAAGUAGCGUGAAGGAUGACUGCCCUAUGGGUUGUAAACUUCUUUUAUAUGGGAAUAAAAUGUUCCACGUGUGGGAUUUUGUAUGUACCAUAUGAAUAAGGAUCGGCUAACUCCGUGCCAGCAGCCGCGGUAAUACGGAGGAUCCGAGCGUUAUCCGGAUUUAUUGGGUUUAAAGGGAGCGUAGGUGGAUUGUUAAGUCAGUUGUGAAAGUUUGCGGCUCAACCGUAAAAUUGCAGUUGAUACUGGCAGUCUUGAGUACAGUAGAGGUGGGCGGAAUUCGAGGUGUAGCGGUGAAAUGCUUAGAUAUCACGAAGAACUCCGAUUGCGAAGGCAGUUCACUGGACUGAAACUGACACUGAGGCUCGAAAGUGUGGGUAUCAAACAGGAUUAGAUACCCUAGUAGUC